AUGCGAAUUUUUUAAACAUUAUUUAUGCUGUAUAUUACUCAGAAGGAAUAAAUAGGUUUUCCCUUAAUCUGAUUUAGGUUCCAUAUCUGUUAUAAAUUGAAAGGUAUUUUUAUUGCCGGACUAGUAAAAAAAAUUCCUUGCGAUGAUGUAGUAAAUUAUAAAACUAAUUUCAUGUACUGUCGACGUUAUCUUAAAAAAAUAAAAAGCUAAAGUGGCGCCACCAUAUUAGGCUUUUUUAUUUGCCCAAUCAUGAUAUAACAUGAAAAUAACAAUAUUACGUAGCUGUUAGUAUAUGAUGAUUGCUUCAUGAGACUUAAAUUAAUUUACACUUGAUAUGCAACGUUUGCCGCGUACAAUUUAUUCAAAUAAUUGGCCAGUUAGCAGUUGCUAAGCAGCUCGGUCGUAUUUUUUUUUUUUAUUUUUAUUUACAUAUUUGUUAAUAACUUACACAGCAUAUUCUUCUAACAAAUGCAAUCAUAAACUCAGUGAGUUUUUCCGUGCAUCAUAUCAUUGACAGUAAUAUUUUUUUAUAUUUGUUGUGUACAAGGUAGAUUACAAUAAAUAAAAUAAUAUGAUAUUGUGUAUCACCUACUGAGCCGGCCGACGCACUGCGUAUCGUUAAAAAGUAUAUAAUCCGGCGGUAGAUGUCAAUUACAAGUUGAAAUAGAGGCUGUUCCUAAGAUUUUUUAAGUUUCUUUUAUUAUUAUUUUUUUGCUUAAUAUUGUAAGCACUUACUUGUUUAAUGGGGUCUAAGUAUUUUUUACCUUUUCUCAAUGUUUUUUUUUUAGUUUUGUGGGAUCUACCCACAUAACCACAUAUCGCUGUUAAGCAUGCGAACUGGCUACAGUGGGUGCAAUCUCACACCGCGUACAUGGAGCGCAAAAUGUCUGUCCAAUCGAACAAACCAAGACGGUACGUGGCGUGCUCACCGGCAUCGGACCUGAGGUGCAAUCAGCCAUCGGCGCGCUGAGGCGCACAUAUUUAUAGUGUGCGAGCGGGCGCGCUAUAGGUUCGUGCGAGAGAGAUGGACUGCUGCCCGCGCGCACUCAUUGGUUGUGUCAACCUUACUGGCGUUAAGCAAUUGAUAUAAAUAUAGGGCACCUGUAUCAAUAAAUCAUUCAUUAUUAAUCCGA